rnacentral:rRNA from 1 species
UGGGGAAUAUUGCACAAUGGGCGCAAGCCUGAUGCAGCCAUGCCGCGUGUGUGAAGAAGGCCUUCGGGUUGUAAAGCACUUUCAGCGGGGAGGAAGGCGGUGAGGUUAAUAACCUCACCGAUUGACGUUACCCGCAGAAGAAGCACCGGCUAACUCCGUGCCAGCAGCCGCGGUAAUACGGAGGGUGCAAGCGUUAAUCGGAAUUACUGGGCGUAAAGCGCACGCAGGCGGUCUGUCAAGUCGGAUGUGAAAUCCCCGGGCUCAACCUGGGAACUGCAUUCGAAACUGGCAGGCUAGAGUCUUGUAGAGGGGGGUAGAAUUCCAGGUGUAGCGGUGAAAUGCGUAGAGAUCUGGAGGAAUACCGGUGGCGAAGGCGGCCCCCUGGACGAAGACUGACGCUCAGGUGCGAAAGCGUGGGGAGCAAACAGG